UUGUCAAACGAACUUUCAUACGUGCUUUUCAUAGAACUUAUCCCCUUCAUACUACAACAACACAUUGAAACACAUUUCAAACUCCAUUGAUUAAAUUCAAAUCCCAUUCAAGUUGCAAGAUUGCUUCUCAUGCGGAUCAUUAUUCAAUACCCAGGCAACAAAGGUAUAAUUGGUAUCACUGUAUAUGCGAGUUCUAUCAUCUUGGCCAAAGAUGGAGUGACAUACCUACAAAAUAUUGUACUAAUUGAUACAAGGCGGAGAGUUUCUCUCUAGGCGACUUUUAAGACUGUUAAAGUGGCCUAUCAGUUUGUUUACACAAGACUUUCUAGAUCAAUAGUGCAUUGUCAUCUACAAGCUAGGUUUGAAAAUGAUGCAUCAUUCAGUUCGAAAAUGGAGAGCUUGUGUAGUUUAUUAUUUAUUUAUCGUACAUUAGUUUAUAUAUUUUACAGUUGGUUUGAUUUUAAGUUAGUUCGUUGACGUUAUUGGUUGACUUUUGAAGUUGACUUUGUUGUUAUUUAAAUUUCAAUUCUAAAGUUAUUUAUUAUGUUUUU